GUCUGCGCUGUUUAGCGAAAACCCUAACCGUUCAGGUUUGGGACGUAUAAAAGGGACUUAUUGGCCGUCAUUGUUCAUUUUAGCCUUCUGAGAGGAACCCUAAAUCGAUUGUGUGCAUCUGGAGCAAGGUUAAAGGCCAUUGGUGAUUUUGAAGGAGUUGUUGUGCAAGGAAAAGAAGGGCUUGGCUAAAGGAACAGCAAGGGAGUCACGUUCUAAGGAUUGGGGACACAGAGAGUACAUCAUCCAGGUAAGAAUUCGAGUAUACUCUGCUAUGUUGAUGUGUUUAUGGAAUUAGGGUUUAUGGAACCCUUUUGUGACUAGAUUGAAUGUUACCCUAGUCCCCCAAACGAUUGUAACCCUGUAUGGGGACCUUUGGAGGUCCAGAAUGUCCCAUGCCUGUGCAUUUCGGGAAUUGAUGAAGGUUUUGGAUUGGAAUCCUUAUGCCUUAGGUCAAUAUGUAAAUUAUAAGUCUUGGGGUGUAUCAUGAGCACCGAAAUGAGGACCUUACGUGAUGGAUCAGUCUAGGAAGGCCAGACCUAUGAAUGGCCGGAGCAGUUCUGACCUUAGAAAGCAGUUUGAGCGGUUGCAUGGCAUGGACUCGCCGAGUCCGAUGAACAGACUCGGCGAGUAGCUUGAAGAUUAACUGGGACUCGUCGAGUUGUUCUUCAGACUCGGCGAGUUGAGUCGGGGUGGCCCCGCGAUUCUUCCAGGAGUAACUCGUCGGGUCGAGGAGGGUACUCGACGAGUAGAUAAGGAAUCUCAGAAAGUUGGAGGACGUCUAGACUCGCCGAGUCGCCAUGGUACUCGCCGAGUCCGGUCGAGUUGACCGUUGACCGUUGACCAGAGUUGACCUAAGUCUGACUUCUUAGGGAUAGUCACACUUAGAAGAGAUAAGUAUUAAUGAGUUAUGUAAUGUUAUAGGGAGGUUGUAGCUCGUCGGUUGUGCACGAGUCAUUUCAGGAGUUGCUAGCUUUCAGCAUAUACGAGGUGAGUCUUCUCACUAUACUGUACCCGGAAGGGUUUGACUGUGUGACCGGAAGGUCGGAUAUGUUAUGUGAUAUGUAUGCUAUAUGUGGUAAGUUAAUUGUUAUAUGUGCUAUGUAUGAUAUGUGGGCCGGAAGGCAAUAUGUUAUGGGCCGGAAGGCGAUUAUGUUAUGGGCCGGAAGGCGUUGUAAUGAGGACCGGAAGGUCAGGGCCUGGAAAGGCGUAUGUGCGUAAGUGUAUAUUGGGGAACUCACUAAGCAUUUAUGCUUACAGUUGUUGUGCAUGUAUUUCAGGUACUAGCGAGGACCGUGGGAAGGCGCCGGCAUGAUCGAUACACACUGAAGAUUGUUUUAUGAUCUUGGGAGUUUGAAUAAUUGUAUUGACCGAAUAAUUAAACUGUUUAUGCCUUGUUUUUAAUGGAAAUAAUUAUGUUUUAAAAAUGAAAAAUUUGUUUGAAAAAUUUGAGUUGUUACAAUUGGUAUCAGAGCCUUGGUUUGAGGGAUUCGGGUGCACCUUCGGGGGUAACUGAACUCAAACCGAGGAUUUGAGGAAACUUUUCAAAUAAAGGCAUAAACUUUUGUAAAUGGUUUUGUGGUAAGCAAGAAAGAAGCAGUGUGUACGAUCAGUCAGCGCCCGAACGGUAAAGAUCCCCAAAAUACCUUACAAUAUUAUAUGAUAUGAAUUGUUAUGCAUGCUAGAAGACUAGGUAUUCAUGAUAGGACUAGAGUGGCCUGAUUUGUGAUGCCUUAGUCUAGGGAAGUUGCCUAUAUGAGAUGCUUUGCUAGUAUGCGGGUAGAUAGAGCGUAUCAGAAGUAGAGUACUCACUAUCUGGAGUUUGGGGAGGAGGACUUGGGAUGAACAUUGAUGCGGUGUGGUCGGUAGUAUUGGGCCCGUACUACCGAGGACACCGGGUCAGUGGGAGGCCCAAGUAAGAAUCCCUGGAUAUCUGGGACUGAGUAGGGUUGCGUAUCGAGUACGAUUAUACUCGGUAGAAUCUCUGAUAGUUUUAUGUUGUAUUUCAGAGAUAUCAUGGUUAGACCGCGUCACGGGGCAAGUACGAGCGGUGUGAGUGACGAGGAUAUUCGUCAGAUGAUCCACGAGGAGGUGGCGGCGGCGAUCCGGGCUGAGAUCCCGGAGAUGUUUGGGUCUAUCAAGACCACCCUGAUGGAGACGUUCGACGAGCGGUACGCCGCAUUGACUGAGGCUGCAACCGCUGCAGCUACCGCAGCUGUGGCCGCUGCUAGGCCACAGGGGGGUGAUUCAUUGCUGUUCCGAGAGUUCAGCAACACGAAGCCACCAGAGUUCGAUGGGACGCAGGAUCCGAUUGCUGCGAUGAGGUGGAUCGCAGAUAUAGAGGGGUGCUUCUACACUUGUUCAUGCCCGGAGCACCUGAGGGUACGGUUCGCUUUGAACCAGCUCCGUCUGGGAGCCAAGGACUGGUGGAAGUUCGUGACGGCGAACUUCACUUUAGCAGAGACUGCGGCAGUGACAUGGGAGGGGUUCACUACCAUGUUCAGGGAUGAGUACGUUCCCCCGGUGGAGCGGGAACGAUUGGUUCAGGAGUUCUUAACCCUCAAGCAGGGUACUGAUUCGGUGGCGGCGAUCACGCGGAAGUUCCAUGAGAGGGCGAUGUUUUGCCCCGAGCUGGUGGCCACAGAGCAGGCUCGGAUGAGCCGGUACUUGGGUGUUCUGAGGAGGGAGAUCCGGGAGUUUGUGUCAAACUCCACUUACCAUACUUUUACUGAGCUUCAGGCGAAUGCCAGGAAGCGUGAGAUCGAGUUGGAGACUCAGGCCAGGGAGGAGGCCGAGUCUCAGCAGGCAGACCGGCGGCCGGCUCAGUCUCAGCCGGCAGCCAAGCGGAUCAAGUCCGCCGAUUCGAGGACGGGAGGUUCGAAGAGCCGCACUUGCGGAAAGUGCGGCAAGGGUCACGAUGGGGCGUGUCGAGCCGGUGCUUGCUACAAGUGCGGCAAGGAGGGGCACAUUGCUAGGGAGUGCCCCAAGGGGUUUAUGGUUUGCUUUCAUUGCAACCAGACCGGCCAUCGGAAGGCCGAGUGUCCUCAGCUUCGUCAGGGAUCUGCACCUGUUGCCAGGACUACUGAGACUCGACCGGUGAAGGUCGAGGCCCCGAGGGCUCGUGGGAGAGCCUUUCAGCUGACUGCGGAGGAGGUCCGCGCUGCGCCCGAUGUCGUGGCAGGUAUGUUGUAAUUCAUGUAUUUAUUUUAAUGUCGAGAUGUUAUGCUUAUGUUAUUAUGCGCGUAGGUACUUUCCUUGUGAACUCUGUGCCUGCCUUAGUGUUAUUUGACUCGGGUGCGAGUAGGUCCUUUGUGUCCUUAGCCUUUAGUCAGCAUAUCAGCGUUAGUCGUGAGUCGUUGAGUCGACCUUUGAGAGUUUCUAUAGCUGACGAGAAAGUGAUUUGUGCCACGGAGGUUCUUCGGGGAUGUGUACUAGAGAUUUUCGGGGUUGAAUUCCCGAUUGACCUGAUUCCUAUUGCGAUGGGUGAUGUCUGUGUCAUCGUGGGCAUGGACUGGUUGAGCCGAUUCGGCGCUGUCAUCGACUGUGAGCGUCAGCUGGUGACUAUACGAGACCAUAGUGGGGGAGUUCUUUCGGUGUACGGCGAGGGUACCCGUUCGGGAUCAGCUUUUUGUUCGGCCGCUAGGGCGAGGCAGUGUCUACAGCAGGGCUGUAAGGGUUUUGUGGCGUAUGUGAUGGAUACGCGGGAGGUUUCCGAGAGACCGAGGUCAGUUGAGGAGGUCCCAGUGGUGCGUGAGUUUCCAGAUGUUUUCCCCGAGGAGCUGCCGGGAGUACCUCCUGUGAGGCAAGUAGAGUUUGGUAUCGAUCUGGUUCCGGGGGCCGCGCCUAUUGCUAAGGUGCCUUAUCGUCUUGCACCUCCAGAGAUGCAAGAGUUGUCCUCGCAGCUCCAGGAGUUGCUGGGGAAGGGAUUCAUUCGGCCGAGCAGCUCGCCGUGGGGAGCACCUAUUCUGUUCGUCAAGAAGAAGGAUGGUUCACACCGGAUGUGCAUUGAUUACCGGGAGUUGAACAAGUUGACGGUCAAGAACCGUUACCCGUUGCCGAGGAUCGAUGAUUUAUUCGAUCAGUUGCAGGGAGCAUCUUGGUUUUCCAAGAUCGAUCUGAGGUCAGGGUACCAUCAGGUGAGAGUGCGGGAUGAGGACGUCCAGAAGACAGCGUUUAGGACGCGAUAUGGGCAUUAUGAGUUUGUGGUGAUGCCUUUCGGACUCACCAAUGCCCCGGCUGUGUUCAUGGAUCUCAUGAACAGGGUAUGCAGGCCGAUGUUGGAUCGGUCAGUGAUUGUAUUUAUCGACGACAUUCUGGUGUAUUCGAGAUCUAGAGAGCAGCAUGAGGAGCAUUUGAGGGAGGUCCUUGAGGUAUUGAGGUCGGAGAAGCUUUAUGCAAAGUUCUCCAAAUGUGACUUCUGGUUGCGGGAGGUCCAAUUUCUAGGACAUGUUGUUAAUCAGAAAGGGAUAUUGGUCGAUCCGGCCAAGGUUGAGGCGGUGAUGAGUUGGGAGGUGCCGAAGUCACCCUCUGAGAUCAGGAGCUUCCUUGGGUUGGCAGGGUAUUAUCGGAGAUUCAUUAAGGAUUUCUCCAAGAUCGCAGUGCCGCUCACCAGAUUGACCCGGAAGGGUGUUGCAUUCUCAUGGGGGCCCGAGCAGCAGACCUCCUUUGAGACACUUCGCCAGAGGUUGUGCGAAGCCCCGGUAUUAGCUCUCCCGGAAGGGAUGGAAGAUUUUGUGGUAUAUUGCGACGCAUCGAUUUCGGGACUGGGUGCAGUGUUGAUGCAGAGGGGUCAUGUGAUAGCUUAUGCGUCGAGGCAGCUGAAGCCUCAUGAGGCGAGAUAUCCCACGCAUGAUUUAGAGUUGGGGGCAGUAGUGUUCGCUCUCAAGAUUUGGCGUCACUACCUGUAUGGGGUUCGAUGUACGAUAUACACGGACCAUAAGAGCUUGAAGUAUUUGAUGGAUCAGCCCAACCUAAAUAUGCGUCAGAGGAGGUGGUUGGAUGUGGUCAAGGAUUAUGAUUGUGAGAUCCUGUACCACCCAGGCAAGGCUAAUGUGGUAGCCGACGCGUUGAGCCGCAGGGCGGAGAGCACUCCAUUGCGAGAUGUAUGCUUGAGACUGACUGUGAUGACUCCUGUAUUGGACGCUAUUCGUGGGGCACAGGCCGAGGCUGUGCGACCAGAAAUGCAGAAGAAAGAGCGGGUUGUGGGGUUAAUUUCAGAGUUCGUUAAGGAUGGACGAGGGCUUAUGACGUUUCAGGGUCGGAUUUGGGUACCGUUCGUGGGCGGUACGCGUAUUACUUUGAUGGAAGAGGCUCAUAGAUCGAAAUUCUCGAUCCAUCCCGGUGCUACGAAGAUGUAUUUGGAUUUGAGGAAAGAGUAUUGGUGGCCCUGUAUGAAGAGGGACGUUGCAUGGUUCGUUGAGAGGUGCUUGACCUGCCGUAGGGUUAAGGCCGAGCACCAGAGACCGCAUGGCAAGUUACAGCCAUUGGAGAUUCCCGAGUGGAAGUGGGAACAGAUCACUAUGGAUUUCAUCACCAAAUUGCCGAGGACUGCCAGGGGAGUUGAUGCAAUUUGGGUGAUUGUGGAUAGGUUGACGAAGAGUGCACACUUCCUUGCCAUCAGCGAGAGUUCUUCAGCGGAGAAGUUGGCGGAGAUAUAUGUGAGAGAAGUGGUAUCUCGGCAUGGGGUGCCGAUCUCGAUUGUUUCAGACCGUGAUGUGCGCUUCACUUCCAGGUUCUGGAAGAAAUUCCAUGAGGAGCUGGGUACUAAAUUGCAUUUUAGUACCGCAUACCAUCCCCAGACAGACGGUCAGAGCGAGCGGACGAUUCAGACGCUGGAGGACAUGCUUCGAGCGUGUGUGUUAGACUUCGGGGGUAGCUGGGAUGCGUAUUUACCCUUGGCAGAGUUUUCCUACAACAACAGCCAUCAUUCGAGCAUUGGUAUGCCACCUUUUGAGCUGUUGUAUGGUAGGAGGUGUCGGACCCCCAUUUGCUGGGGAGAGGUGGGACAGAGAGUGAUGGGCAGCACAGAGAUCGUGCUUCAGACGACAGAGCAGAUUCAGCAAGUUAGACAGAGGUUAUUGACCGCCCAGAGCCGACAGAAGAGUUAUGCAGACAGGCGCCGAUCCGAGCUUGAGUUUCAAGUCGGCGACUUCGUUCUCCUGAAGGUCUCUCCUUGGAAAGGAGUGAUUCGAUUCAGGAAGAGGGGCAAGUUGGGGCCCCGGUAUAUUGGGCCAUUUCGUGUGAUUGCAAGGAUAGGCCGGGUAGCCUAUCGUUUGGAGUUGCCAGCGGAGUUGGGGCAGAUCCACGACACUUUUCAUGUGUCGCAAUUGAGGAAGUGCAUAGCCGAUGAGUCGGCAGUGGUUCCAUUAGAGGAUAUUCAGGUGGAUGCGAGCCUGAAUUAUGCUGAGAGACCAGUGGCCAUCAGGGAUCGGAAGAUCAAGGUUCUGAGGAACAAGGAGGUACCUCUGGUGUUGGUUCAGUGGCAACACCGGAAGGGAUCGGAAAUGACUUGGGAGCCGGAACGUGAGAUGCGGGAGCAGCAUCCGGAACUAUUUUCAGAGUGAGACUUCGAGGGCGAAGUCUAAUCCUAGUGGGGGAGAAUUGUAACAGCCCGGAAUCUCAGGUAUUGUUAAAAUUAUGUUUUUGGGGUGUUUUAAGAGGGGACUCGGCGAGUUGGAGCCUAGACUCGCCGAGUAGGAUCGCAGACCUGGUCGCGGGUUCGCGACUGGACUCGACGAGUCCAGAUAUGGACUCGGCGAGUCUGCGCUGUUUAGCGAAAACCCUAACCGUUCAGGUUUGGGACGUAUAAAAGGGACUUAUUGGCCGUCAUUGUUCAUUUUAGCCUUCUGAGAGGAACCCUAAAUCGAUUGUGUGCAUCUGGAGCAAGGUUAAAGGCCAUUGGUGAUUUUGAAGGAGUUGUUGUGCAAGGAAGAGAAGGGCUUGGCUAAAGGAACAGCAAGGGAGUCACGUUCUGAGGAUUGGGGACACAGAGAGUACAUCAUCCAGGUAAGAAUUCGAGUAUACUCUGCUAUGUUGAUGUGUUUAUGGAAUUAGGGUUUAUGGAACCCUUUUGUGACUAGAUUGAAUGUUACCCUAGUCCCCCAAACGAUUGUAACCCUGUAUUGGGACCUUUGGAGGUCCAGAAUGUCCCAUGCCUGUGCAUUUCGGGAAUUGAUGAAGGUUUUGGAUUGGAAUCCUUAUGCCUUAGGUCAAUAUGUAAAUUAUAAGUCUUGGGGUGUAUCAUGAGCACCGAAAUGAGGACCUUACGUGAUGGAUCAGUCUAGGAAGGCCAGACCUAUGAAUGGUCGGAGCAGUUCUGACCUUAGAAAGCAGUUUGAGCGGUUGCAUGGCAUGGACUCGCCGAGUUCGAUGAACAGACUCGGCGAGUAGCUUGAAGAUUAACUGGAACUCGUCGAGUUGUUCUUCAGACUCGGCGAGUUGAGUCGGGGUGGCCCCGCGAUUCUUCCAGGAGUAACUCGUCGGGUCAAGGAGGAUACUCGACGAGUAGAAGGGGAAUCUUAGAGAAUUGGAGGACGUCUAGACUCGCCGAGUCGCCAUGGCACUCGCCGAGUCCGGUCAAGUUGACCGUUGACCGUUGACCGUUGACCAGAGUUGACCUAUGUGUGACUUCUUAGGGGCAGUUAAACUUAGAAGAUAAAAGUGUUAAUAAGAGAUAUAUGAUGUUAUAGGGAGGUUGUAGCUCAGCGGAUCGAGUACGAGUGACUUCGGGAUUUGUUAGCUUUCGACAUUUACGAGGUGAGUCUUCUCACUAUACUGUACCCGGAAGGGUUGACUGUGUGACCGGAAGGUCAGAUAUGAUAUGUGAUAUGUAUGCUAUAUGUGGUAAGUUAUUUGU
rnacentral:lncRNA from 1 species